ACACUGAUGACGAGUCCAAAAUAGGACGAAAUGAACAAGCUGGAUUCCAGUGU
rnacentral:hammerhead_ribozyme from 1 species